AUUGAACGCUGGCGGCAGGCCUAACACAUGCAAGUCGAGCGGAUGAAGGGAGCUUGCUCCUGGAUUCAGCGGCGGACGGGUGAGUAAUGCCUAGGAAUCUGCCUGGUAGUGGGGGAUAACGUCCGGAAACGGGCGCUAAUACCGCAUACGUCCUGAGGGAGAAAGUGGGGGAUCUUCGGACCUCACGCUAUCAGAUGAGCCUAGCUCGGAUUAGCUAGUUGGUGGGGUAAAGGCCUACCAAGGCGACGAUCCGUAACUGGUCUGAGAGGAUGAUCAGUCACACUGGAACUGAGACACGGUCCAGACUCCUACGGGAGGCAGCAGUGGGGAAUAUUGGACAAUGGGCGAAAGCCUGAUCCAGCCAUGCCGCGUGUGUGAAGAAGGUCUUCGGAUUGUAAAGCACUUUAAGUUGGGAGGAAGGGCAGUAAGUUAAUACCUUGCUGUUUUGACGUUACCAACAGAAUAAGCACCGGCUAACUUCGUG
rnacentral:rRNA from 1 species